CCUACGGGAGGCAGCAGUGGGGGAUAUUGCACAAUGGGGGGAACCCUGAUGCAGCGACGCCGCGUGGGUGAAGGAGCGUUUCGGCGCGUAAAGCCCUAUCGGCAGGGAAGAAGAUGACGGUACCUGACCAAGAAGCCCCGGCUAACUACGUGCCAGCAGCCGCGGUAAUACGUAGGGGGCAAGCGUUAUCCGGAUUUACUGGGUGUAAAGGGAGCGUAGACGGCUGCGCAAGUCUGGAGUGAAAGCCCGGGGCUCAACCCCGGGACUGCUUUGGAAACUGUGUAGCUAGAGUGCUGGAGAGGCAA
rnacentral:rRNA from 1 species